UCCUCCUCUCUCUCUCUCUCUCUCUCUCUCUCUCUCUCUCUCUCUCUCUCUCUCUCAAAUUUGUAUAGUUUCAGAUCUGCCCCGUUCGCCCCGCCGUCCGCCGGAGUCCCCUGCUUCUGUCUGCCGCCGCCUAGCCCCCUGCCGGAUCUCCUCUUUCUCUCUCUCUCAAAUUUGAAAGGUGCCUUCAAAGUUAAUUUUUUGAUUUUGAUGAAUUUUCUACCAAAUUGGAUUUUGAUGCUUUAUGUCGUUUUUCCUCAAAGUUUAUGUCAAAUUUGAGUCGCCGUUCGCCUGCCGGAGUCGCCACAUUAUGAUUUCUCCUUUGCUCUCUUGCUUCUCCUUUCCUUCAACAGGUAAUCUCCUCUAACAUCACUCGAGUGUAAUCUGAUGGCUCUUCUCAAGCAAUCUGUUUUGGAAUGGGAUUACUUGAUGUUUGGAUAGUUGGUGACGCUCAUGAUUUGUUAUAUUGCAAAUGUUGUAAUAGUGAUGUUGCUAUUAAUCCAUAUAUGCUGCAUAUUCCUUCAACAAUUGAAAUAUCUUUCUUGCCAAAUCAAAUAAUUGGAAUCGGAUAGCUCCACUACAAAUAGAAUGAAGCCUUUUUUACUAUAUCAACUUGUCUGAAUAGACAUGUCAAAUUUGCUCCAAACACUAUGGUGGUGUUUUAAUAGUAUUGCAUUUUCUUUAAAGUAAAUUAAUAGACAUGUUCUAGUUUCAAACAUCUUCCAACCAAGAUGAAUAUGCUGUUUAUUGUAAUAGUUAGCUUACAAUGUAAAACGGCUGGGGGUGGACAGAGCAGGAAGUUAGACAAAUGUUUGGUUUUGAAUUUCCUAUUCAGUCCAAAGCCUUCGAGAAAGCGUGGCAGAUGCAGUAGACUUAGGGAUGCAGUAUUAGUAUUAUGAGUGAGGGCGAGGCCAGAGGAGAAGUAGACUUAGGGAUGUAUUUCUAACUCUUUGAUAAAUUCUAGUAUUAAUGCAUUAUCAAAUAUUCUUAAAUCUUUGAUAUAUUCGUAGUAAGAAGUAUUAUUGAGCUGACUAAGAGUGAUUUCAAGUUACUAAUAUUAUGAUAGAUAUAAUAGUAUUUUUGAUGACUAUUAACUUUUAUCUCUUAGCUGUAGAUUGUUUGUUUUCAAAUUAGUGGACUCAUGCAUGAAUGUUGAAUUAUGUUUGUCCAGGUCUCGAAACAGCUGAGCUUUUGCUCACUUCAGAGAUUUGGAGCAGCUCACUACGUUUGAUUUUUUAGUGAAGAUAUAGAUUGAGAAAUUCAGAAUAUUUAAGGUAGGGAAUGAAGCCAUUGGUUGAUUCAAAUGAUAGCGAAUAAAACACGUGCUUGUGUUUUUAAUAUAGAAUACUCUCUCUCUCUCUCUCAUAAUGUAUCUGUUUGGGCUCACUGCAGAAUCUACUUCCUUUUCCUCUUUUAAGAAAAUCCAGCGAAGGAUACAUGAAUUUUUCAGUCAUAAAGAGCCUUAGAGAGAGUGAGAACCUACAGGUAUGUUCUUUUGAAAGUUAUUGCAAUUGAUUUUAUUUUUGUUAAUUAUGUCGUCGGUGGGGGAGAGGCGAAU
rnacentral:lncRNA from 1 species